GGGCCUGUGGCUCAAAGGAGUAGGGCACUGGCUUCAUAUGCCAGAGGUGGUGGGUUCAAACCCAGUCCCACCCA
rnacentral:tRNA from 1 species